rnacentral:rRNA from 1 species
UACAGAGGUCCCAAGCGUUGUUCGGAUUCACUGGGCGUAAAGGGUGCGUAGGCGGUUUGAUAAGUCUGAUGUGAAAUCCCGCAGCUUAACUGCGGAACUGCAUUGGAAACUAUUUGACUAGAGGAAUGGAGGGGAGACUGGAAUACUUGGUGUAGCAGUGAAAUGCGUAGAUAUCAAGUGGAACACCAGUGGCGAAGGCGGGUCUCUGGACAGUUCCUGACACUGAGACACGAAGGCCAGGGGAGCAAACGGG